UUCCGGUUGAUCCUGCCGGAGGCCACUGCUAUUGGGAUCCGACUAAGCCAUGCGAGUCGAGAGGGUUCGGCCCUCGGCAGACUGCUCAGUAACACGUGGAUAACCUAACCUUAGGUGGAAGAUAACCUCGGGAAACUGAGAAUAAUACUCCAUAGGUCUAGGAUGCUGGAAUGCACCUAGGUUGAAAGUUCCGGCGCCUAAGGACGAGUCUGCGGACUAUCAGGUAGUAGUCAGGGUAAAGACCUGACUAGCCUACGACGGAUACGGGUUGUGAGAGCAAUAGCCCGGAGACGAUAUCUGAGACACGAUAUCGGGCCCUACGGGGCGCAGCAGGCGCGAAAUCUUCACAAUGUGCGAAAGCACGAUGAGGGGAUCCCAAGUGUUGGCUCGUAAGAGUCAUCUGUUUCUUUGUCUAAAAAACAGAGAGAGUAAGAGCUGGGUAAGACGGGUGCCAGCCGCCGCGGUAAUACCUGCAGCUCAAGUGGUGGCCGCUAUUAUUGGGCCUAAAACGUCCGUAGCCGGUUUAGUAAAUGCCUGGGUAAAUUGUGUAGCUCAACUAUACGAAUACCGGGUAGACUGCUAAACUUGGAACCGGGAGAGGCUAGAGGUACUCCUAGGGUAGAGGUGAAAUUCUGUAAUCCUAGGGGGACCACCAGUGGCGAAGGCGUCUAGCUAGAACGGGUUUGACGGUGAGGGACGAAGCCCUGGGGCGCAAACCGGAUUAGAUACCCGGGUAGUCCAGGGUGUAAACGCUGCUCGCUUGAUGUUAGUCGGGCUCCGAGCCCAACUAGUGUCGGAGAGAAGUUGUUAAGCGAGCUGCCUGGGAAGUACGGUCGCAAGGCUGAAACUUAAAGGAAUUGGCGGGGAGCACAGCAACGGGUGGAGCGUGCGGUUAAUUGGAUCACGCCGU
rnacentral:rRNA from 1 species